rnacentral:rRNA from 1 species
UACGAAGGGGGCUAGCGUUGCUCGGAAUCACUGGGCGUAAAGGGCGCGUAGGCGGACUUUUGAGUCGGAGGUGAAAGCCCAGGGCUCAACCCUGGAAUUGCCUUCGAUACUGGGAGUCUUGAGUUCGGAAGAGGUUGGUGGAACUGCGAGUGUAGAGGUGAAAUUCGUAGAUAUUCGCAAGAACACCGGUGGCGAAGGCGGCCAACUGGUCCGAAACUGACGCUGAGGCGCGAAAGCGUGGGGAGCAAACAGG